rnacentral:rRNA from 1 species
GGGGGGGGGGGGGGGGGGGGCGGGGGGGGGGGGGGGGGGGGGGCGGGCGGGGGGGGUGCUCCGCUGGCGUUAUCGGCGGACGGGUGGGUGGCGAGUGGAUGACCUACCUAUGAGACUGGGAUACCUUCUGUGCGCCGGGGCUCAUACCCUGUACUAUCUUGGACCGCGUGGUUCAGUAGUUGAAGACGGUUUUGCUGUCACUUAUUGAUGGCUCCGCGCCGCAUUGACUGUUUUGUAAGUGAACGGCUUACCAAGGCAACGAUGCGUAGCCUACUGGAUCGGGUGAUCGGCCACACUGGAACUGAGACACGGUCCAGACUCCUACGGGAGGCAGCAGUAGGGAAUCUUCCGCAAUGGGCGAAAGCCUGACGGAGCAACGCCGCGUGAGUGAUGAAGGUCUUCGGAUCGUAAAACUCUGUUAUUAGGGAAGAACAAAUGUGUAAGUAACUAUGCACGUCUUGACGGUACCUAAUCAGAAAGCCACGGCUAACUACGUG